GACGAACGCUGGCGGCGUGCUUAACACAUGCAAGUCGAACGGAAAGGCCCUGCUUUUGUGGGGUGCUCGAGUGGCGAACGGGUGGGUAACACGUGAGUAACCUGCCCUUGACUUUGGGAUAACUUCAGGAAACUGGGGCUAAUACCGGAUAGGAGCUCCUGCUGCAUGGUGGGGGUUGGAAAGUUUCGGCGGUUGGGGAUGGACUCGCGGCUUAUCAGCUUGUUGGUGGGGUAGUGGCUUACCAAGGCUUUGACGGGUAGCCGGCCUGAGAGGGUGACCGGCCACAUUGGGACUGAGAUACGGCCCAGACUCCUACGGGAGGCAACAGUGGGGAAUAUUGCACAAUGGGCGGAAGCCUGAUGCAGCAACGCCGCGUGCGGGAUGACGGCCUUCGGGUUGUAAACCGCUUUCGCCUGUGACGAAGCGUGAGUGACGGUAAUGGGUAAAGAAGCACCGGCUAACUACGUG
rnacentral:rRNA from 1 species